rnacentral:lncRNA from 1 species
UGCUCAUUAGCUAGUUGAUACAUUUGUCUUUAAAAAUACAACUGACAUAUAAGGAUCGUAAUGGUGCAAUGUGGAUAAAUUUAUCGGUUUCCGAGAGCAAAAUUGACAGCGCGUCAUCCCUACAAUGGCUUCCAUUUCUACGAUUGUGAAAACGAACUGGCGUAAUGGGGAGAUAAUUUUGACGAAGUAGAAUCCUGACUG